GUUCAACUAAUAUGAUGUAACUAGGAUGAGGGUUGCAGAAUUCCACUAACAUAAAGUUCCCAGGUUGGAAGAUUUCAGGAAUCAGAGAUGAAUAAAGCAGGAGGGGGAGUUCCUGUAAUUCUGUCAUUGAACAUAAAGCAUUACUUGUUGUACAGUAAUGCUAACAUGCUAACAUAAAGUAUUACUUGUUGUACAGUAAUGCUAACAUCCUAACAAAGUAUUACUUGUGGUACAGUAAUGCUAAAUGCUAACAUAAAGUAUUGCUUGUGGUACAGUAAUGCUAACAUAAAGCAUUGCUUGAGUUACAGUAAUGCUAACAUGCUAACAUAAAGCAUUACUUGUGGAACAGUAAUGCUAAUGCAGUUAGCAAUAGUACUACCUUCUCCACUGAUUCCAGCAUGCACAGGCUUGUAAUAAUAUUAUUUUACAUAUAUUGCAUUUAAAAGUGUAUACUAUAAGAGUGUGUACUAUUUAAAAGUGUAUACUAUGAGUGUGUACUAUUUAAAAGUGUAUACUAUAAGAGUGUACUAUUUAAAACAAACAGGACAGGAAAAAGAGUUACCAGGGCAGCAUCCCAAAUAGCAGCCUAUUCCCUAUAUAGUGCACUACUUUAGACCAGAGCCCUAUUCCCUAUAUAGUGCACUACUUUAGACCAGAGCCCUAUUCCCUAUAUAGUGCACUACUUUUGACCAGGACUCAUAGGGGUCUGUUAAAAAGUAGUGCACAAUAUAUUUAAGCAAUAAGGCCCGAGGAGGUGUGGUAUAUGGCCGAUUAUACCACGGCUAAGGGCUGUUCUUACGCACGACACAUCGCUGAGUGCCUGGACAUAGCCCUUAACCGUGACAUAUUGGCCAUAUAUCACAACCCCCCUGAGGUGCCUUAUUACUAUUAUAAACUGGUUACCAAUGUAAUUAUAGCAGUAAAAAAUAACUAUUUUGUCUUACCCGUGGUAAACGGGGUCUGAUAUACUACGGCAGUCAGCCAAUCAGCAUUCAGGGCGAGGAAUAGGAUGUCAUUUAGGAAACAUCCCAGGAGAUCGCUGUGACGUCAUCACGUUUGUUUCGUCGCUGUUGAUUUAUUGAUUUCUUUGUUGGCAUUGUAUUUACACUGAAAUAAGCCGUCUUGAAUAAUCUAUAUCAUUUUUGUUGACUAUCCUGACUUUAGUGGGUUUGUAAUACCUUUGUGGUGUGAUGGGUCUUCUAUCAAAGCAGCUAGGGAUUAUGCAUUUUUACUUGUUUCUAUACUUGUUUUGGUGUGUGUCAGUCAUUUGCAGCUAAUGCCACAUAGAGUACUGAAUACAGGCAGCUGAAAGCCCGUCUGGUAUACGAUGUGUCUUGAGUUAUGGAAGCUUCUGGAAUGGACACGACGAUUGGCACACAAUGACUAUUAGAGCGGCAGAGGAGACCGUAGCGAGACUAAAUAACAGUACUGGACCCUGCUCAAAGACAGGAACUGGCCAUCCAUAUUCUGAACCAUUGUCCGUCCUGCCCGACUUCCCCUCGUCUGUCCCUUAUACUGUAUUUUAGACACUUUUAACCCUGACAGAAAUUGAGCUUUUGAUUUCAAUUAUAUAUAAUUAUAUAAUUAUAUAUAUAUAUAUUGUUUUACGUUAUCUGCAAAGGUCCAUACUGUUAGUGACUCAAAGGCUAAAAUACUAUUUCUAUUUAGGAAAAUGCCAAGAUUGUUCAUGCUCACUGAAUACUUUUGUGUUACCUCCCAAAUUAACCCCUAUUCUUAUAUAGUGUACUGCUUUUCACCAGCCUCCUCUUUGGGCUCUUGUCAAAAAGUAGUGCACUGUAUAGAGUGUAACUUGGGAUUCUGCCUGUGUGGGUGGGUUAAGGUCAUGUAGCAUCAAACAUGAAGGAUCACUGAAUCGUAUUGACCAGAGGAUCACUGAGUCGUAUUGACCAGAGGAUCACUGAGUUGUAUUGACCAGAGGAUCACUGAGUUGUAUUGACCAGAGGAUCACUGAGUCGUAUUGACCAGAGGAUCACUGAGUCGUAUUGAUCAGAGGAUCAC
ensembl:lncRNA